UACAGAGGUCCCGAGCGUUGUUCGGAUUUAUUGGGCGUAAAGGGUGCGUAGGCGGCGGAGUAAGUUGGGUGUGAAAUCCCGGGGCUUAACCUCGGAAUUGCAUUCAAUACUGCUUCGCUUGAGUACUGGAGAGGAGGCUGGAAUUUACGGUGUAGCAGUGAAAUGCGUAGAUAUCGUAAGGAAGCCGGUGGCGAAAGCGAGCCUCUGGACAGUUACUGACGCUGAUGCACGAAGGCCAGGGGAGCAAACGGG
rnacentral:rRNA from 1 species